rnacentral:tRNA from 1 species
GGGGGUGUAGCUCACAUGGUAAAGCGCGCGCUUACCAUGCGCGAGGUACCGGGAUCGAUACCCGGCACCUCCA